ACACUCAAAACGUAUACCAGACGACAUUGUGGUAUAUUUUUCUUCUCAGAGUCUAACCAAAUAUUAGCUAAGGUACUGAAUGCCACUAGUAUUAUUAAUUAAAGUCACCACUGUUUACUGGACAUGUAGCAAAUAUAUAUGGUACGUCCAUACAGUAUCACAGCCAUUCUCAGCCUCUGCAUUUAGAACUAUUAGAUUAUAUAGAAGCACAGUCCUGCUUGUCACAAUCUGAAGAUAGAGGAACAGAGAAAGUAUGAGUGAGAGAUGCAGAAGGAAAUAGGAAACAACAAAGUGAUGUCAGCAUGCAUCAUUGGGUUCUUUCAGUGCAUAGUGGUGGGAGCAUCAAGAGUCUGGGAUGAACUCUGCUGGUCACUAAGAUGGUUCCUGCAUGUGCACCGCGGCAGAUCUCAUUGAAACAGUCAUCACAUGGCCAAUAGUUAAUCCUGAUCCAAGAAAUCCCUGUCAGGCAAUAUCCUAGCUUCAAACACAUUGCGCAUGACAGAGGAGAUUCACAUCAGAGUACAGCUGAUAGAGCUCCGGCUCAUGCAUGCAUAAUCUCGGCGUUCUUGGCAUCUCAAAGACCCACUAUUACAGUGGCUAGUGUUUCCUACUGCCAAUAUGUAUGCGCAUGAGAGAAUAUGAGUUACUAG
rnacentral:lncRNA from 1 species